UACGGGGGGAGCAAGCGUUGUUCGGAUUUACUGGGCGUAAAGGGCGCGUAGGCGGCCACCGCAAGUCGGUUGUGAAAUCUCUGGGCUUAACCCAGAAAGGUCAAUCGAUACUGCGGGGCUAGAGUGCAGAAGGGGCAACCGGAAUUCUCGGUGUAGCGGUGAAAUGCGUAGAUAUCGAGAGGAACACCUGCGGCGAAGGCGGGUUGCUGGGCUGACACUGACGCUGACAGCGCGAAAGCUAGGGGAGCGAACGGG
rnacentral:rRNA from 1 species